UACAAACAAAAAGUACUGCUGCUCAGAAGACAUCUCUCAGCAGGAAAUUUAGCCAAUUUUCCCUGUUUUAGAGAGGCAGGCAUGAUGAAAGAGAAGGUACCUGAGUAUGAUG